GAUGAACGCUAGCUACAGGCUUAACACAUGCAAGUCGAGGGGGAACGACAUCGAAAGCUUGCUUUUGAUGGGCGUCGACCGGCGCACGGGUGAGUAACGCGUAUCCAACCUGCCCACCACUUGGGGAUAACCUUGCGAAAGUAUGACUAAUACCCAAUGAUAUCUCUAGAAGACAUCUGAAAGAGAUUAAAGAUUUAUCGGUGAUGGAUGGGGAUGCGUCUGAUUAGCUUGUUGGCGGGGUAACGGCCCACCAAGGCGACGAUCAGUAGGGGUUCUGAGAGGAAGGUCCCCCACAUUGGAACUGAGACACGGUCCAAACUCCUACGGGAGGCAGCAGUGAGGAAUACUGGUCAAUGGGCGAGAGCCUGAACCAGCCAAGUAGCGUGCAGGAUGACGGCCCUAUGGGUUGUAAACUGCUUUUAUAAGGGAAUAAAGUGAGUCUCGUGAGACUUUUUGCAUGUACCUUAUGAAUAAGGACCGGCUAAUUCCGUGCCAGCCGCCGCUGUAA
rnacentral:rRNA from 1 species